rnacentral:rRNA from 1 species
ACGCACGCUGGCGGCGUGCUUCACACAUGCAAGUCGAACGGGAUUUAGUAGACAGAAGCCUCGGCUAAAGAUUACUAAUGAGAGUGGCGAACGGGUGAGUAACGCGUGAGCAACCUGCCUAUGACAUUGGGAUAGCCUCGGGAAACCGGGAUUAAUACCGCAUAAAAUCGUAGAAACACAUGUUUCAACGGUCAAAGAUUUAUCGGUCAUAGAUGGGCUCGCGUCUGAUUAGCUAGUUGGUGAGAUAACAGCCCACCAAGGCGACGAUCAGUAGCCGGUCUGAGAGGAUGAACGGCCACAUUGGAACUGAGACACGGUCCAAACUCCUACGGGAGGCAGCAGUGGGGAAUAUUGCACAAUGGGGGAAACCCUGAUGCAGCGACGCCGCGUGAACGAAGAAGGUAUUCGUAUCGUAAAGUUCUGUCCUAUGGGAAGAUAAUGACAGUACCAUAGAAGAAAGCUCCGGCUAAAUACGUG